AACAGAACAGGGCAGGGAGUUUCACAGUGUUCUUCUAUACAAUGUCUGGAAUCUAUGAAUAACAUCAGUUUCUAAGUUAUGAGUUGAUUUUUAACUACUGGGUUUAGGCCAGGCAGGCCCAGACCUGGUUUCGGGCCUGGCGUCAGGCUGCCUGUCUUUGGUUUUACUUCCUUGUUGUUUUUUCUUAAAACAGGUACUGAGUAUAAAACAAUAUAAAACAGUACGAGAGGGUCUCUCUCUUCCCUCAUUUACAUCUGUGUAACCACUAUCCUAAUCAACAUAUAGAAUAUUUUAUCACCUUUUAAGUUCCUAUGUGACUUACUGUUGUCAAUGUCCUUCUUCCAUUCCCAAUACCUGGAAACUACUGAUCUGAUUUUUGUCACCAUCGAUCAGAUUUGCUUUUUUCUAAAAUUUCGUAUGUAUACAAUUAUAUGGCAUAUCCUCGACUGGCAAAAUAAACCUCUAAUCAAUAGAGAUCUGCCUCAGUCACUUUUUGGCUUACAUGUUGGUGACCACGAAGGGACUCUGAGUGGAGUCUGGCUCUUGGCCUCCAGCAGGUCUCCUAUUGGGGCCCUGGUACCGGCUGGAGCUCUUUAUUACUCUUACAGAUUGGAUGAUUUGCUAUGUAAGUUCUGGGAACUUCUCCCUCCAGAGAUCCCUGAUCUCCCCCAAAUUUUCAAUUGGGAUCUGAGGUUUAUUCUGCUGUAAAACUCCUUUUCUGGUAGUUUCUGCUUCCAUGAUGGCAGACAGCAGUCUUCAGCUUGGGUCCAUCUCCAGUUUUGGUCCACCUUCUGUUAGACUUUACCAACUCCUGGCCCCCUCUAAUGUUGAAUGAAACUCUGCAGCUGGAGAAAGUCAAUUUUCACUUCUAAAAACCCUGGCUGGUAAUAUCAUCAGGAAGACGGGUGCUUCACCAUGCUUCUGCCUGUACCAGUGUACAGAAUAUAAAGCCUUGGAGGAACUGCAGUUGAUGACAGCAUCUUCCCCUUCUCGGAGGAUCACGGCUUGAGGACUCUGCACUGGUUGUUGGCUUCUCACCCCUGAUCAGAAAGACAAUCGAAUGAGAUGCUCAAUCUCGUGAAGGGAAGGGUGAUUUUCUCUCUUCCUUCCUUAUUUAAAACAUUAAGCAUCACCACAUAAUUACGGUACAUUUUCCUCACUUCUUAGGUCUGGUUCUUAAAAGGGCCCUUCCCAAGACAGAAAGCUAUUGUCAUUAAGAUGCUGUCAUAUCACAACCUCUCCCAGACUGAAUCGUGUACUCACAGGUCAACUGCCACAACAAGGUGCCUGAAAGCACUUUCAGGAGAGUCUCCAUCCUUGGCCUGCCAGAAUAUCCAGUCAGCUUCUGAAUGGGCUUCCUUAACAGGAGUUGCUUUGAACUCAGAAUGAGGCCUGUUGCAAUUGCUUCCAGGAUAUUGCAACUUUGGGGGCAACCAAUCAGAGACACAUCACAACAGUUUAACUGCAGAGAACUAAAUGCAUCUACCUAGAAUACUUUUUAAACAGCUCUCCCCUGUGGCCAGACUGAGGAAUGUUGAUUAAACUGUGGAUUUUGGCUUUUCUUGAGUAAGUUUUCAUACAGGAUAGGUUUUUUUCUUGCUAUAAGAAGGGCCUAUCAAUAUACUGUGUUACAGAAAGAAUUACUCCAGAAUUAAGAGAAAAAAGAAGUAUCAAGGGAAAAUGUAUUAUAUGUAUUUUACUACAUAUAUAUAUUUUAUAUACAUGCCCACACAUGGAUAUAAUAUAUAAGUAUGUGAACUCAUAGUAAUCUUUCAAACAGUGACAUUUCAUUAUAUUAUUUACUUGUGCAGAUUUCUUUCACUGCUCAUCAUUGUCUUCAAGAUAAUGUAAUGUACAAACAUCUUAUAAUGGCUUUUAAUUAUUUUCACAAAGUGGUUUCUGCUUAUUGCUUUAGUUUUAUAUUUACUGACAUACAUUUUGAGUUGUAUGCUCUGGCCAUCCUGAAUUAGUUUAAUGUCAUUCUCUUAACCUAAAUAUUGACUUCAUGUCUUUGUACAUUCUAUUUAUCUUUUUCUGUAAUACCCUGUCUCUGACUCCAUUUUUGGCUAACUGUUUUACAGAUCUUAACCUAGAUACUACUUCCCGUAGGCAGCUUUCCCUUACAUUUAAGUUUCCAAAUUAAAUGCCACUGUUAGGUGGUUAUAUUCUACGCUUCUCCUAUGAUAGCUUUUAUUAUACUAUAUUGUAAUACACUCUGCAAUAUUACAUGCUCCCUGAAGGCAGAAACAAUGCCUUAUUCUUCUCAUUUGCAUCUAUUGUUUUCAAGUCUAAGACACAUAUUAGGUAUCAAAUGAAUAACCUUAUUAAGUGAAAUCUCAAGUAAAUAGAAAACAUAUUUGGUAACCUCACAAAUAUUAUGGUUACUCAUUUAUAAAACUGAGAAUUAAGGUACAACUGCUUUGCAGUGGUGGUUUGAACAUUUUAUGACAUACAUAAUUUUAAUUAUAGCAUAAUUCUGGCUUUUAGUCCUCAGGUUCAUUGUGUUCUGUGUCACCUUGUACAUGCUGUUUCUAUCUUUAAGAUCACUUUUACUACCUUCUCUGUCUUUCAACUUGAUUGACUCCUACUAAAUCUUUAGGUCUCAGCAUAGGCAAGACAUACUACAGGCUGCCCCUGACUCACCUCUAAGGCUAAGAUGGGGGUGGGACUUUCCAUAUGCCUUCAUACCUCCCUUUGCUUUCCCAAGGUUGGCCUCAUUUCACUUUACUCUGUCUGAUUAGCUGCCUACAUAACUAACUAGACUACAAUUUAGUCAAAGAAGAUAUGUAUUUUUCCAUAGCUCUUUUUUUCCCAGCAUGUAACAUUUAUGCAGAACUCAGCAGGCAACCAGUUAACAAUUGCUAAUUGAUAAAAUGAAUAAAACUUGAGACCGAUGUUAGCUGGAAAUCAUUGCCCUUGCAUUACAGAUGAAGGUCCUGAUAUAAAAUGUUAAGAAGUUGAUUCACUUGCUCAAGAAGACACAACACACUUAUGGCUAGAACAAUGCUAGAAAGUAUGUUUUCCCAAUGCUGUUUCCCAAAUAUAUUAGAUAAGAAAAGAACGUAAAUAGAUAACUGUGGGAAUGAAUGAAAUGUGAAAGUUGAAGCAGUCUGAAGAGCUUGAACAAAAAGACAGGGAUGAGAUUGAAUGUAGUAUUCCUUUUUCUGGUAUGAUUCUACGUUGCUUUAGAAGGAUAAAGACAGCAUUAAUAUAUUCCCUCCCCAUUAUGCAAGACAUGAAAUGGGGUAAAUGUAACAGCAGUUAGAGUGAAAAAUGUCCAUUGUAACAGAACUUUAUAAUGGGUUUCAGUAAUUUAUAAAUCAUGUUAAAUAUAUCUGAAAAGAAGAAAAGCUGAUUUAUUGUCUUAAGGUAUUUGAAAUAGUUUUGUUAAGAGCAGGGAUAUAUAGUAACUGGACUGAUUAUUCAGCUGAAUUUCCACAUUUUUUGAAACUGAAAUGAAAUGAUUCAUCGUAGCUACAUUUCUCUACACCCUGCUAGAAGACAGCAACAACUCUCGCGUGUCUGCCCUUUUGCUGGGAUCUGUGGCUACAGCUUUGAAUUUGGGAACAGGCUCUGGAUGCCUGUGAGCAAAGAGUAUGCACAGCAGACUCUCUGCUCAGAGUAGCUGAGGCUCUAGAGUAGGAGCCCGAGAUGUGCAUGGAAUACCCUAAGUAUGAAGAGUGAUGCUUAAUAUUCCUUCCUGCUUUUCAUUCUCAUUUACGUGCAUUACGAAAAGGAUCUUGGAAUUUUUCCUGCCUAUACCAAUGUAAGCCAUAAAAAGAACAGAAAAAAUACUGCAUGUGAUAUUGGUGCUCCUGGAUAUGGAGGGAUAAUAAAUCUAAUUCACACUGAGUUAGCUUUACAUCCAUGUUCAGGAAUAUAGAAUUAAAUAUGAGAGAAUUGAUCAACCUACAGAUUUUACCUUAUAGUUAAACCAACCCCACAAGGAUCCCUAGAUGAACAAAGCUAAGCCAACCUAUAUAUCACCCCUAUUCUGAUAAAAAAUGUCUUCAGCAUUCCUGAAAUCACUGUUCCUGAAGUCACUGUUCAGAUUAUGCCAUAAGUAAUGGGAUUUACAGAGGCUUCCGCAUGCUUCUUGGGAAGUAUCCUGAAUUUCUGUAUCUUCUCUCUGUAAAGAUCUUCAGCUUCAGAAAAUCAGCCUGUGAGGAACAAGCUCUAAUCAUUUAUCUACAAAUACAAUAUACAUAUAAAACCAUAAUUUCAGCUUUUAAUUCUCUAUGAGUGAUAAUCUCACUCUUCUAUAGGUCAAUGAUGAAGACAUGUAUGAUAAGAAUUUUAAAGAUUGCUAGCUGUUCAAAAGCAUGACUUGUUAAUAGCUUCUGUAGGAAGGGCCCAUACUUGGUGGUUUGGGGCAUGAGUGACCAUGAACUCUCUUUUCUCACAAAGUUAGUGAUACUGAACAAAUCCCUGAACUCCCACAGCCUGUUUUCUCUACUAAAAUAUGGAUUAUUCUAAUAGUUGUCUUAAAUAAUUAUUAGAAGAAUUAAUGUAAUACAUGCAAAACAGGUGGAAUAAUAGAAGUUCAACAUAAUCUAGACAUUAUUACCAUUACACAACAGUGUGCUCUAAGUGAUAAAAUUCUUUCUCAUGGAGCUACAAGUAACAAUUCUGAUACCACUAUACAUGUUUAAUGGAAUUGGACUAUGAUGUAAAUGAAUAGUGGGUGGUAAUGACAAAAAUUCUUUGCUUGACCAAACUUUAGUCAGGCUUUUGAAGUUUCUCCUAAGCUCAUCUGUACAUUUUCUUGUAAAAUGUAGUUUUAACAAGAAUCCUUCUAAGUCAGUUUAGCAAGAACCACACCCUCCCCUGCUGCCCUCGUCAUCCUCCGCUUGAUAUCUGAUUACACUCCAUAUCCAACUGGGCUCCUCAUCCUCUAUCAUCCCCCAGGGGAUUGAUGUCUGAUCACCCUGACCUGUCUUCUGCAAGGAUCCUGUUUGGCUGGUCUAGCCAGACUAUCCCUUGGUUCUAAUGUUUCCUCUUAGUAAUUUCCUAUCCACUGACCCCUAAUCUGCCCCUUGGCUAGAAAUCUCCACUUGUCUAUGCUGUAUUCGGAGUUGAAUCCAAUUCUUCUCCCUCACUGCAAAAUCCUGUUGCAGUGGUCUCUGUACCUAUCAUGAUGGUCCUAAAUAAAUUCUGCCUCACCGUGUUUUAACAAGUAUUACUGAAUAACUUUUUGUUAACAGUGAGAGCCAGGCUGUGCACCCCUGUAGUGGGAAUUUAUGGAUAAGUAAGGGGAGGAGGCUAGUGUGAUCCACGUGGUAAUGAUUUAGCAUUGGAGACAUUGCUAAGAACGAAUGUUUAACUUAAUAUAGAUACAGAUGGUUAUGCUACAUAUAGAAAUAUUUAUAGAUAUGCAGAUAUACAUAAGUUAGUAUUCACACAUGCAAUUCUUUGCUCAGAAAUGCCUGUACACUGAGAAAAACUAAAAGAAAAGACAUCUCAGGAAAUGUUCAUCACUGGAAGAACCUGCAGUAGGACCUUGGUUUUCCCAUUCCAAACACACAUCCUUGCCCCCUAGUAUACAAGGGAGACAGGGCACCCGCAUUCCAGAAGCUAGCAGAAACAAAGCAUCACUAGAGAUUUAUGCUUUAGCUAAAUCAGCAACCUCUUUCUGAAAGUAGAAAAGGAGAGUGGUUAGACUCUUAAACACUCUAAAACUCAGGGAACUUUCUUAACUUAUUUGUAAGGUUUUGUCAUGUAUCAGUCUUUCUUUAGGCUCAACUUGCCUCACCUACUUCAAAG
rnacentral:lncRNA from 10 species